CAGCUGCUAUGUGGAUAAAAGACUGAGGGGAAGGAGACGGGCCCAGACCAGACAUAUCAGCAAGCUGAUGAGCCAGGCUAACAGCUGUUCCAAAAGCCACUCUGACGGCGUGGGCCUCCUUGCCGCUUACAACGCUGCUGGAAAGCACCACUGUACCUACCCCCUCAGGAAAUCCAUCACGUGGCAACUGCAGCCUAGAAAGAAACUUCUAGCAAAUCCAUGACACAAAAGGAGCUGGCUUCUCUCAUCAAUGAAGGCAGGAACAGUGACGGUACAAACAGCACCAACUCUGGCCUUGGACAGGCGUGGCCGCAGCCACAGCUCUUCCCCACACUUGCUAUAGGACACAGACAUUGUCAGCUCCUGGUCUUUGAGGCUCCUCUCCUGAUGGUAUCAAGCCUGCAUUUAAAAUGAAGUGUGGAGCAGCGCAGAAUAAGCUGCACCUGGCAUGCAGGAC